UACGAAGGGUGCAAGCGUUGCGUCGAAUUAUUGGGCGUAAAGGGUAGGUAGGUGGUAAUAAAAGUCUGGGGUGAAAUCCCUGAGCUCAACUCAGGACGUGCCUUGGAAACUUUAUUACUAGAGUGCUGGAGAGGUCCGCAGAAUUCCCGGUGUAGCGGUGAAAUGCGUAGAGAUCGGGAGGAAUACCAGAGGCGAAGGCGGCGGACUGGACAGUCACUGACACUCAACUACGAAAGCGUGGGUAGCAAACAGG
rnacentral:rRNA from 1 species